ACGGAGAAUUUCAGAUGUUUACAUUGCGAAAUUCUUAGUGGCGGACGGGUGAGUAACGCGUGGGUAACCUACCCAUAAAGCCGGGACAACCCUUGGAAACGAGGGCUAAUACCGAAUAAUCUUAAGAGUUGGCAUCAGCUUUUAAGGAAAGGUGGCCUCUGAAAAUGCUACCGAUUAUGGAUGGACCCGCGUCUGAUUAGCUAGUUGGUGGGGUAAAGGCCUACCAAGGCGACGAUCAGUAGCCGGCCUGAGAGGGUGAACGGCCACACUGGGACUGAGACACGGCCCAGACUCCUACGGGAGGCAGCAGUGGGGAAUCUUCCGCAAUGGACGAAAGUCUGACGGAGCAACGCCGCGUGUAUGAUGAAGGUCUUCGGAUUGUAAAGUACUGUCUUUGGGGAAGAACGACUGAUUUGAAAAGAUUGAGUCAGUAUGACGGUACCCAAGGAGGAAGCCCCGGCUAACUACGUGCCAGCAGCCGCGGUAAUACGUAGGGGGCAAGCGUUGUCUGGAAUUAUUGGGCGUAAAGGGCGCGUAGGCGGAUUUUUAAGUCCGGUGUGAAAGAUCAGGGCUCAACCCUGAGAGUGCAUCGGAAACUGGGGAUCUUGAGGACAGGAGAGGAAAGUGGAAUUCCUAGUGUAGCGGUGAAAUGC
rnacentral:rRNA from 1 species